rnacentral:rRNA from 1 species
AGUGAACGCUAGCGGCGUGCUUAACACAUGCAAGUCGAACGAGAACGGAUUAUAGCUUGCUAUAAUUGUCAGCUAAGUGGCGCACGGGUGAGUAAUGUAUAGGUAAUAUGCCUCUUACUAAGGGAUAACAAAUGGAAACGCUUGCUAAUACCUUAUACUCCUUAUUAACAGAAGUUAAUAAGGGAAAGAUUUAUUGGUAAGAGAUUAGCCUGUAUUGUAUCAGUUAGUUGGUGGGGUAAUGGCUUACCAAGACUAUGACACAUAACUGGUUUGAGAGGAUGAUCAGUCACACUGGAACUGAGACACGGUCCAGACUCCUACGGGAGGCAGCAGUGGGGAAUAUUGCACAAUGGACGAAAGUCUGAUGCAGCAACGCCGCGUGGAGGAUGACACAUUUCGGUGCGUAAACUCCUUUUAUAUGAGAAGAUAAUGACGGUAUUAUAUGAAUAAGCACCGGCUAACUCCGUGCCAGCAGCCGCCGUAA